UUCGGAAGGCGAAGCUCGUUCGUAAUGCAUUAGCAACUCAAUUUCGAGUGUUCGGAUUGACUCGGCGUAAUAGACUAUUCGCUGAGGACAUCGAGUUAAACUGGUGGCCGAACUUUGAGGUAGAUGCUUCUAAAACCCCUUUAUGAAGUCAAAUUCUUAGAUUAGACCUCAGAUCAGGCAGGAUUACCCGCUGAACUUAA
rnacentral:misc_RNA from 1 species